AAGCCAGUCCUUCCCCCCAGCCCCCCGAAACCCGCCCCUCACUCUGACCCCUGCUCCGGGGGCGCUCCCCCCGCUCCCCUCCAGCUGCAAACUUUGCUGGCCUCGGGGAGCCGGUCCUGGCCCCGUUGGCGGUCAGGCCCGGGCCGGAGAGGGCUGGACGGGGCUUGCCGCUCCGCCGGGAGAGGACCCCCGGGCUCUGCCUUCGUCCGGAGGUCCGGCGCCCCGGGGCUGGGAGGGAGGGCGGGCGCCAGGGUCCCCCGGACUGGGGGCGCACCUCCGACUCUCCCCGCUUCGCCCUUCGCCUCCGGAUCCAGCCGCUCCGACCCGAGCCGGGAUGAGCACCAGGGAAGGCCGGGAAAGGGGCAGCCGGACACGGGCAGCCGGAGAGGGAAAAGAGGAGGGAAAAACCGGAGGGAAAACCGGAGAGGGCCCGAGCGCUACCCUGUGGCCACGCUCGGAGAGGAGACCGGCGCGCACGGGCACGGGAGAGGGGAGAAGGUAAACAGUGACCUUGGAUUUGCCUUCCUCCAGAUUCGCUGCCCGUCUCAAUGAAUCUUGAUAUUGACCUCGGGAGCUUUCGAUAUCUAUUUAUUGUUCAGAUAUUUCAGCGUCAAUAAACAGAAGCAUGAGGCAGCGCUGAGCAAGCCUGUCCUUUAAAAACCAA